AUUUUCUACACCUACGCCUUGUUGUUCUCACCUGUGUCUCCUUACUAGUUACCCAAUGUGCUGCCAGUCAGUCACAGAUGCUCAGUGUUUCAUACCAACGGGCAAUCUGGGGUCACCGAUUGGCCAAUUCUACGCCACCUCCUCUCCGUCUCCCUCAAACUGAAGAACAUGCACACAGAGAGGCUCCCUCUGUGAGGUGACGGAACUAACCACCAUGCCAUCCUCUGUUUGGGGCUGAUCGCUCUUCAGUGGAGAGGUAACUGUUGUCAUGCACAUUGUUCAGAGAUGACGAGAGCAACGCCACGAGAUCACUGAACCACAUCCCGAAGGUUCAAAAGCUGAGCUGUAAAAGCUUCAAUCCCUGAAGAAGU